AUUGAACGCUGGCGGCAGGCCUAACACAUGCAAGUCGAACGAGUGGCGGACGGGUGAGUAAUGUCUGGGAAAAUGCCUGAUGGAGGGGGAUAAAUACUGGAAACGGUAGCUAAUACCGCAUACCAUCGAGAGUACCCAGAUGGGAUUCGCUAGUAGGUGGGGUAAAGGCUCACCUAGGCGACGAGCCCUAGAUGGUCUGAUAGGAUGACCAGCCACACUGGAACUGUGACACGGGCCAGAUGCCUACGUGAGGCAGCAGUGGGGAAUAUUGCACAAUGGGCGCAAGCCUGAUGCAGCCAUGCCGCGUGUAUGAAGAAGGCCUUCGGGUUGUAAAGUACUUUCAGCGGGGAGGCGUUACCCGAAGAAGAAGCACCGGCUAACUCCGUGCCAGCAGCCGCGGUAAUUC
rnacentral:rRNA from 1 species